rnacentral:rRNA from 1 species
UACAGAGGUCCCGAGCGUUGUUCGGAUUCACUGGGCGUAAAGGGUGCGUAGGUGGCGAUGAAAGUUCGAUGUGAAAUCUCCGGGCUUAACCCGGAAAAGGCAUUGAAAACUAUGUUGCUUGAGGUUUGGAGGGGGGACUGGAAUUCUUGGUGUAGCAGUGAAAUGCGUAGAUAUCAGGAGGAACACCGGUGGUGCAGACGGCUCUCUGGACCGUAACUGACGCUGAGACACGAAAAGCGUGGGUAGCAAACAGG